rnacentral:rRNA from 1 species
AUGGCGAUGGCGACGCACACGGGGGUCGCCGCCUCCAAGGUCCUCAUCCUCGCCGCCGCAGGCCUGACGGGAUCGAUCGUGCUCCGGAAUGGCCGCUUGUCGGAUGUAUUGGCGGAGCUCCAGGAGCUCAUGAAGGGCGUAAAUCAAGGAGAAGGCUCGAGCGCCUAUGACAUGGCUCUUAUCCAAGCUCAGAUUCGGCAUUUAGCCCAAGAAGUCAGAGAUUUAACUUUGUCAAAGCCCAUUACCAUAUUGAGUGGCAAAUCGGACUCGGGAGGCAGUUUAUCGUCCUACAUACUGCCAGCAGCUGCAGUUGGAGCAUUAGGUUAUUGCUAUAUGUGGUGUAAGGGAUGGUCCUUGUCAGAUGUCAUGUUUGUCACAAAACGCAAUAUGGCCAGUGCUGUCGACAGCAUGUCGAAGCAAUUGGAGCAAGUUUCAUCAGCACUAGCAGCAACCAAAAGACAUUUAACAAAACGCCUUGAGAAUUUGGAUGGCAAAAUGGACGAACAAGUGGAAGUCUCCAAACAAAUCCGGAAUGAGGUCACUGAUGUUAAAACUGACCUGUCCCAAAUUGGCUUUGAUGUUGAAGCAAUUCAACAGAUGGUAGCUGGACUGGAAGAGAAGAUUGAGUUGCUUGACAAUAAACAGGAUGCGGCUAAUGCUGGUAUAUGGUAUCUCUGCCGAAUGGCAGGAGGUAUAAAAGAGGGAAUAAAUGCCAAGUUUUUCCAAGAAGCGGAUGAAAAACUCAAGCUCUUAGACCUUGCUCAAACUGAAAAGAAGCCAGUGAAGGGUCUCGAAUUGUUUCUGGAGAGCACCAAGGAGGUAAAGGCACUCGACUCCAAGCCAAAGACCAUCAUGCAGAACGACGUCAAGAAACCGACGAAAACGUUCGACGUGCCCAUAAAAAGCGCUGCGGUGCACAGGUCAAACAGGUUCUUAAUUCGUAAAGAAGGCCUCGCGCUGUGA